AUUGAACGCUGGCGGCAUGCUUUACACAUGCAAGUCGAACGGUAACAGGCCUUCGGGUGCUGACGAGUGGAGAACGGGUGAGUAAUGCAUCGGAACGUGCCCAGAGGUGGGGGAUAACGCAGCGAAAGCUGUGCUAAUACCGCAUGUGAUCUGAGGAUGAAAGCGGGGGACCAGGCAGCAAUGUUUGGCCUCGCGCCUUUGGAGCGGCCGAUGUCAGAUUAGGUAGUUGGUGGGGUAAAGGCCUACCAAGCCGACGAUCUGUAGCUGGUCUGAGAGGACGACCAGCCACACUGGGACUGAGACACGGCCCAGACUCCUACGGGAGGCAGCAGUGGGGAAUUUUGGACAAUGGGCGCAAGCCUGAUCCAGCAAUGCCGCGUGCGGGAAGAAGGCCUUCGGGUUGUAAACCGCUUUUGUACGGAACGAAAAGGCUCUGGCUAAUACCUGGGGCUGAUGACGGUACCGUAAGAAUAAGCACCGGCUAACUACGUG
rnacentral:rRNA from 1 species